rnacentral:rRNA from 1 species
UGCAUGUCUCAGUACUUGCCUACCUAAGGCGAAACCGCGAAUGGCUCAUUAAAUCAGUCAUGAUUCAUUGGAUGUUGUCAAAUCCUUACUCGGAUAACUGUGGUAAUUCUAGAGCUAAUACGUGCAACUAAGCUCCGACCCUGCCGGGGAGUCCUUCGCGUCGCCUCGGUCGGGGGAAGGGCGCAUUUGUUAGACCAAAAACCGGGUGGAAAGUAAGCGCGCGCGCCUCGCGCACGCCCAAAUCCUCCAAAUACGGUUACGUGGUGACUCUGAAUAACUACAGCCGAGCGCUGAGGUCAUAGUACCGGCGCCGUAUCCUUCGAGUGUCUGCCUUAUCAGCUCUCGAUUGUAGGUUAUUCGCCUACAAUGGCUGUAACGGGUAACGGGGAAUCAGGGUUCGAUUCCGGAGAGGGAGCCUGAGAAACGGCUACCACAUCUAAGGAAGGCAGCAGGCACGCAAAUUACCCAAUCCCGGCUCGGGGAGGUAGUGACGAAAAAUAACGAUGCGGGACUCUUCCGAGGCCUCGCAAUCGGAAUGAGUUCAAUUUAAAUCCUUGGACGAGGAUCCAUUGGAGGGCAAGUCUGGUGCCAGCAGCCGCGGUAAUUCCAGCUCCAAUAGCGUAUAUUAAAGUU